AACGAACGCUGGCGGCAUGCCUAACACAUGCAAGUCGAACGAGACCUUCGGGUCUAGUGGCGCACGGGUGCGUAACGCGUGGGAACCUGCCCUUAGGUUCGGAAUAACUCCCCGAAAGGGGUGCUAAUACCGGAUAAUGUCUUCGGACCAAAGAUUUAUCGCCUUUGGAUGGGCCCGCGUUGGAUUAGCUAGUCGGUAGGGUAAAAGCCCACCAAGGCGACGAUCCAUAGCUGGUCUGAGAGGAUGAUCAGCCACACUGGGACUGAGACACGGCCCAGACUCCUACGGGAGGCAGCAGUGGGUAAUAUUGGACAAUGGGCGAAAGCCUGAUCCAGCAAUGCCGCGUGAGUGAUGAAGGCCUUAGGGUUGUAAAGCUCUUUUACCCGGGAUGAUAAUGACAGUACCGGGAGAAUAAGCUCCGGCUAACUCCGUG
rnacentral:rRNA from 1 species